AUAAACGCUGGCGGCGCACAUAAGACAUGCAAGUUGAACGGACUUAAUCGAAAUAUUUAUAUUUUGAGGCGGUUAGUGGCGGACUGGUGAGUAACGCGUAAGGAACCUGCCUAUUAGAGGGGAAUAACAGUGAGAAAUCAUUGCUAAUACCGCAUAUGCCAUAGAUAUCACAUGAUAACAGUGGGAAAGGAGCAAUCCGCUAAUAGAUGGCCUUGCGUCUGAUUAGAUAGUUGGUGGGGUAACGGCCUACCAAGUCGACGAUCAGUAGCCGGACUGAGAGGUUGAACGGCCACAUUGGGACUGAGAUACGGCCCAGACUCCUACGGGAGGCAGCAGUCGGGAAUAUUGCGCAAUGGAGGAAACUCUGACGCAGUGACGCCGCGUAUAGGAAGAAGGUUUUCGGAUUGUAAACUAUUGUCGUUAGGGAAGAGAAAGGACAGUACCUAAGGAGGAAGCUCCGGCUAACUACGUG
rnacentral:rRNA from 1 species